GCUGGCGGCGCGUCUCACACAUGCAAGUCGCACGAGAAAGCAGGAGCAAUCUUGUGAGUACAGUGGCGUACUUGUGCGUAACACGUGGAUCAUCUACCUUCUAGUGGGGAAUACCUCCGGGAAACUGGAGACAAUACCGCAUAAGCUCGUGAGAGGAAAGCAGCAAUGCGCUGGAAGAGGAGUCCGCGGCUGAUUAGCUAGAUGGCGGGGUAACGGCCUACCAUGGCGAAGAUCGGUAGCCGGCCUGAGAGGGCACACGGCCACACUGGCACUGAAACACGGGCCAGACUCCUACGGGAGGCAGCAGUGGG
rnacentral:rRNA from 1 species